UUCACAUGGCUGCUUCAGAAGGAAAUUUUGGUGUUGCUGAACUUCUCCUAAACGCUGGAGCACCGAUGGGCAGCGUGGAUAAGGACGGUAAGACACCGAAAGACAGAGCCAAAAGAAAAGACGUCCCAGCUUACUGUUCAUCUAUGAAUACAUUCAACAUCCUAGAAGGAAGGAAGAUUGUUCUCGAGCUACUUACAUCGGGCAGGGUGACUAGCCCAUUUAGGUACAAAUUGAACGAAGAUGGAGGUAAGCUUCAAACUAUGUCGUGUACUGUCAGUGUACCACCUGGAGCCCUCGCCAUGGAAACAGAAUUCAUCUGUCAGGUCAUCAGCACCGAUGCCAUCACACUGCCCCUCGCUAAAGAGAUAUUAGUGAGUAACAUCAUACAACU